rnacentral:rRNA from 1 species
UACGUAGGGUGCAGGCGUUUAAUCGGAAUUACUGGGCGUAAAGCGUGCGCAGGCGGUUUGCUAAGACAGGUGUGAAAUCCCCGGGCUUAACCUGGGAAUGGCAUUUGGGACUGCAAGGGCUUGAGUGCGGCAGAGGAGACUGGAAUUCCUGGUGUAGCAGUGAAAUGCGUAGAUAUCAGGAGGAACACCGAUGGCGAAGGCAGGUCUCUGGGCUGACACUGACGCUCAUGCACGAAAGCGUGGGGAGCAAACAGG